AUUGAACGCUGGCGGCAUGCCUUACACAUGCAAGUCGAACGGUAACACGCGUUCCGUUGCCGUCUGGCGGUGGAGGCGGACGUAAUACAAACACACGUGCCAGAUCGUGAGGGGACACGGAGCGCAACGUUUACUAAUACCGCAUACCAGCUAAUGUUGAGAGCCGCAGACCGCAAUGCCUAACGAGGGCGUUGCGGCCGAUGGCAGAUUAGGUAGUUGGUGGGUUAAAAGCUUACCAAGUCAACGCUUCGUAGCUGGUCUGAGAGGAUGAUCAGCCACACUGGAACUGAGACACGGUCCAGACUCCUACGGGAGGCAGCAGUGGGGAAUCUUGGGCAAUGGGCGAAAGCCUGAUCGAGCAAUGCCGCGUGCAGGAUGAAGGUCUUCGGGUUGUAAACUUCUGUUGUACGGAACGAAAAGCUGUCUUAUAAUACAUGAGCGUCUUGACGGUACCGAAAGAAUAAGCCCCGGCUAACUACGUG
rnacentral:rRNA from 1 species